rnacentral:lncRNA from 1 species
UUUGUUAUGAAUUGAAUAUUGCAAAUACUCAAUACUCAAGUAAUAAGCAUUCAAAACUCGUGGUGUCAGAUAUUAGUCACAUUUUAUACUGCUAAUUUUUGACAUAUAAGUUUUAUAAAUAUUAUGAAUCAUAUUUCUUGGCGUUUAAAAAUCCUAAAGAUAGAGCAAUGUAAAUUUUGGAUUCUUUCUAUAUCAUUAGCUUUUUAU